rnacentral:rRNA from 1 species
CCUACGGGGGGCAGCAGUGGGGGAUAUUGCACAAUGGGGGAAACCCUGAUGCAGCGACGCCGCGUGUGGGAAGACGGUCCUCUGGAUUGUAAACCACUGUCCCCAGGGACGAAGAUGCCGGUACCUGGGGAGGAAGCUCCGGCUAACUACGUGCCAGCAGCUGCGGUAAUACGUAGGGAGCGAGGGUUGUCCGGAAUUACUGGGUGUAAAGGGAGCGUAGGCGGGACUGGAAGUUGGGUGUCAAAUCUACCGGCUCACACGGUAGCCGCACUCAAAACUGCAGUUCUUGAGUGAAGUAGAGGCAGGCGGAAUUCCUAGUGUAGCGGGGAAAUGCGUAGAUAUUAGGAGGAACACCAGUGGCGAAGGCGGCCUGCUGGGCUUUUACUGACGCUGAGGCUCGAAAGUGUGGGGAGCGAACAGGAUUAGAUACCCGGGUAGUC